rnacentral:rRNA from 1 species
UACGUAGGUGGCAAGCGUUGUCCGGAUUUACUGGGCGUAAAGGGCGUGCAGGCGGUCUGUUAAGUGCAGGGUGAAAGCUCCCGGCUCAACUGGGAGAGGUCCUUGCAUACUGGCGGACUUGAGGGGGGUAGAGGAAAGUGGAAUUCCCGGUGUAGUGGUGAUAUGCGUAGAUAUCGGGAGGAACACCUGUGGCGAAGGCGGCUUUGUGGGCCCUACCUGACGCUGAGACGCGAAAGCGUGGGGAGCGAACCGG